CUUUUUUUAUGCCUUGGGAGAAGUCCUGUGCUGCAGACCCUUCGCUGGCUGCGAUGUUGUGCUUGGAACGAGCCCCUGUUUAGGCUGUCGGUGGCGGAACCCCGGGUUCCUGCUCGGAAAGAGCAGCAGCCUGCUAUCAUCAGCCUCAGCGUGACGGCGCCGGCCAGAUGCGAAUGCAGAACCCACCAAGCUGCAUUUGCUGAAUUUUACUGCAUCCACACAAGCCUACCUUGAUGAGGAGUGAAAUCCUGAAGGAUUUGGGACAGCAUGUCUGCUCCCUGCAGAGCUGGGAAAUAAGACUGAGGUUUGGUACCCACAUAACUCUGUUCCCU
rnacentral:lncRNA from 1 species